GACGAACGCUGGCGGCGUGCUUAACACAUGCAAGUCGAACGGAAAGGCCCUGCUUUUGUGGGGUUCUCGAGUGGCGAACGGGUGAGUAACACGUGAGUAACCUGCCCUUGACUUUGGGAUAACUUCAGGAAACUGGGGCUAAUACCUGAUAGGAGCUCCUGCUGCAUGGUGGGGGUUGGAAAGUUUCGGCGGUUGGGGAUGGACGCGCGGCUUAUCAGCUUGUUGGUGGGGUAGUGGCUUACCAAGGCUUUGACGGGUAGCCGGCCUGAGAGGGUGACCGGCCACAUUGGGACUGAGAGACGGACCAGUCUCCUACGGGAGGCAGCAGUGGAGAAUAUUGCACAGUGGGCGGAAGCCUGAUGCAGCAACGCCGCGUGCGGGAUGACGGCCUUCGGGUUGUAAACCGCUUUCGCCUGUGACGAAGCGUGAGUGACGGUAAUGGGUAAAGAAGCACCGGCUAACUACGUG
rnacentral:rRNA from 1 species